GAAUAGAUUCAAACACACAAUCCAUCACUCGAGCAGCAGACACUCAACCCAUUUCGUCAUGCUGAACUGAGGGAUUUCCCAGAAUUAUCUUGGGCUAUAUUCGGGUCCGGGUGAAGGAAGAUAGAGAGAGAGAGAGAGAGAGAGAGAGA